UUCCCUCUCUCCGCCCCCCGUCCCGACGGCGCGUCCACGUUCGCGGCCGGCGCAAUUGUGGAUAUCAACGGCGACAUGACGUCCUUUCAUGUUGAUGCCCCGCCGUCCCGGACGGGGCCGGGCUUGUAAAUGAAAGCGUGUCGCGAUCGGCCCGUCGAACGGUAAGCGAUUAAUUCACGUUCAACUUAAUAAAUAUCGGAGACAUAACCUAGACCCGAUUCGAACCCGACUGAACUCCGGCCACGUCGAGAUUGUUGUUCUUCCGGCGGACGCGACGAAUAUCGUGGAUCCAACGCAACGGAAAGUCUAACCUAAGUUCUAACCUAAUACACGCCAAUGUCAGAUCUAACCUAAGUUGAGCAUAACAGAAGUCGAAGCUAGCCCGAGCUGGCAAUCUAAGUUCGAGUUAACCCAAGUUAGUAAUCUAAGUUUAUCCUAACGUAAAUUGUACCUUUAAUUUGUUUAGAUAGUUGUUCAGUUGAACAGAACGUAUCUCGUGGACCACUCAUAACAUAAACUCGGAUGUAACGCGCAGUUAGGUCGGAUCUGAUAUACGUCACUGCGCAGCGAGACAUAACCAGAUUCGAACCCGACCGAGCUCAAGCCACGUCGAGAUUGUCGCUGCGAUUUGUUUAAACAGUUCUUCCGAUAAAUAUUGUGGAUCUAACGCAACGGAAAGUUAGGUCUAAUAUGCGCCGAUAUCAGAUCUAGCCUAAGUCGGACGUAACAGAAGUCGGAGCUAGCCUGAAUGGUUGUUCAGUUGAACAUAACGUAUCUCGUGGACCAUUCAUAACAUAAGCUAGGAUGUAACGCGCAGUUAAGUCGGACCUGAUAUGAGACACUGCUGAACCAAACAUAACCUAAGAGAAGCCCGACUGAAAUUAAUUGCAGCUUAAAUCGAAUGUAACUCACCGGUUCAAAUUCAGGGGGAAAUCUCCCGCUUCUAAUUUCUAAAAAUUGAAAACGAUCUCUUAAUUUUAUCAAGAUUUGCAAGAGGCACGAAUGUUGAAGAAGUUUUUGGCUCGGUCCAAAAUGCGUUCUUUUUUGUAUUCUUGUUUGUCUAAAAAAGAACAAUGAAAAUACUUAAUCAGGAUGCGUUUUGCUAUCACAAGAAUCACGAAGGAAAAGAUUGAUAACUAAAAAAAAUGGCAGUAUUUUGAUGUGGCGCGGUCUAUAGGGACCGAAUAUACGAUCAAAUAUUUUGUCAAAAUAAAUAACGACCAAAUGAAAA